rnacentral:rRNA from 1 species
UACGUAGGUGGCGAGCGUUGUCCGGAAUUACUGGGUGUAAAGGGCGUGUAGGCGGGAAAGCAAGUCAGAUGUGAAAUGCCGAGGCUUAACUUCGGAGCUGCAUCUGAAACUGCGUUUCUUGAGUGUCGGAGAGGAAAGUGGAAUUCCCAGUGUAGCGGUGAAAUGCGUAGAUAUUGGGAGGAACACCAGUGGCGAAGGCGACUUUCUGGACGAUAACUGACGCUGAGGCGCGAAAGCGUGGGGAGCAAACAGG